CCUACGGGAGGCAGCAGUGGGGAAUAUUGCACAAUGGGCGAAAGCCUGAUGCAGCGACGCCGCGUGAGGGAUGACGGCCUUCGGGUUGUAACCCUCUUUCAGUAGGGACGAAGCGCAAGUGACGGUACCUACAGAAGAAGCACCGGCUAACUACGUGCCAGCAGCCGCGGUAAUACGUAGGGUGCGAGCGUUGUCCGGAAUUAUUGGGCGUAAAGAGCUCGUAGGCGGUUUGUUGCGUCGGCUGUGAAAAACCCUACAGCUUAACUGUGGGCCUGCAGUCGAUACGGGCAGACUUGAGUUCGGCAGGGGUAGACUGGAAUUCCUGGUGUAGCGGUGAAAUGCGCAGAUAUCAGGAGGAACACCGGUGGCGAAGGCGGGUCUCUGGGCCGAUACUGACGCUGAGGAGCGAAAGCGUGGGGUAGCGAACAGGAUUAGAUACCCUGGUAGUCCACGCCGUAAACGGUGGUGCUAGGUGUGGGGACUUCGACGUCCUCCGUGCCGCNGCACGCAUAGACACCCGCCGUCGGGAGGUACGGCCGCCGACGGACGUAAACCGUACGAACGUAAGUAGUUAGUUACGGCGUGAGACGUGCCGACGGCGACGACGAGGGAGGUUAGG
rnacentral:rRNA from 1 species